UCGAGGAUCUUCGUCAAUGGGCGCAAGCCUGAACGAGCGAUGCCGCGUGCGCGAUGAAGGCCUUCGGGUUGUAAAGCGCUGUCGAGGGGGAGAAAAGCCCCGCAAGGGGUUUGAUCUAUCCCUGGAGGAAGCUCGGGCUAAGUUCGUGCCAGCAGCCGCGGUAAGACGAACCGAGCGAACGUUGUUCGGAAUCACUGGGCUUAAAGGGCGCGUAGGCGGGUUGUCAAGUCUGGGGUGAAAUCCCGCGGCUCAACCGUGGAACUGCCUUAGAUACUGACGACCUCGAGGGAGGUAGGGGCGAGCGGAACGGGUGGUGGAGCGGUGAAAUGCGUUGAUAUCACUCGGAACUCCGGUGGCGAAAGCGGCUCGCUGGCCCUCUUCUGACGCUGAGGCGCGAAAGCUAGGGGAGCAAACGG
rnacentral:rRNA from 1 species